rnacentral:lncRNA from 1 species
CUAUAAGUGCAGUGAUCUUUUCUUUACACCAUACUUUUCCUUCUACAUAUUUAUUUAUGUGUUUCCCUCCCCCCCUUAAAAAAAAAAAAGGACUGCAGGUGUGGCAUAUGAAAGUUCCCAGGCUAGGGUUUGAAUCUGAGCUAUAGCUGCCCCGCCACAUCUGGAACCUAUGCCGCAACUCAUGGAUCCUUAACCCACUGAAUGAGGCCAGGGAUUCAACCUACAUGCUCAUAGAUACUAGUUGGGUAUGUUACUGCUGAGCCACCACAGGAACUCCUAGGUAUUUACUUUUGAUUUGCUAAUAGAGCCCAGUCUUCUACAAGGGAUAAGAGUUAGGAUGACUGGGAAAUUUACAAGGGGGUUCUGUACUUUUAAGAACUGCCUACCAUAACAGAGGGUUGAGAGGAUCAAAUGAUUAUUCUGGAUUCCCAAAUUAUCAGUAGAUCUAAGAUUUCCAAAGAGAAUUCUAAUGAGUCAUAGUUUGGAGGAAAUUUUUUUCUUCUGGUAACAAAGGCAUGUGUUUAAAAAAAGGAUGAGAGGAACAGACAAUAAAGACUAAUUACAUUUCAAUGGGGCUUUGAAAUGUAAUUUUGUGAGGCCCUGUCUCACCCAUUAUCUAUUUCACUGUGAAUAACACCAUGAGCUUAAUUAGUUUGUGGCAUACACUUUGACAGGUUAAGAAACUGAGGCUUGGGGAAUAUGGUCAUCAGAUAAUCUACUCAAGGUGAAGAGUUAUGAGUAGUGGACCAAGGAUGGCUCUUAGGCUUAUGACUUCUUUUCCAGCAGUGCUACCUUUCAGCAUCAAAUGAGGACAGUUCUGUAAUUCAUCCCAUGAACAUUUACUGAUAGUCAGCCAUGCAUUGUAUGGUGGGUAGGAAGGUGAAUAAGAAGCAGUCUCAUUCCUAAAUGGUUUAUUGUCUGGUGUAGGUAACAGACAUUUAAAGGUAUUCGGUGUGAUAAUUCUGUGGUAGAAGUUCAUUCAUAGUAUUGCAGGAGCAUAGUGAGGAGAGAGCUCUGCUUCCGUUGUGAUUCAGGCUCAUGGCACCUUUCACCUGAACUGUCAUCCUGUCAUUCUUCUUUCCCUUCUUACUCUGGCUCUUCAUGGCCAUUCUCCUCACAGAAGUUAGAAUCAUCCUUUAAAAUGCAAGUUAGAUCGUGUCAGGCCUCUGUUUAAAAUCCUCAAAAGGCUUCCCAUUACUGAACCUGGAAUCAAAUUCAACCCCCUUUCUAGGAUUUAUGACACCCUUGUAAUAUCUGACCUCUGCCAAUCAUUCAAGCUUUCCAUAUUAGCUUUUUCUACUCUAUUCGUCAUGCUCCAGCCACAUUUGGCCUUCUUUGCACAUGUCAAAUAUAACAAACUGAUUCCAACUCAUUUCCAUCUUAGGGCCUCUGUGCUAGAAAUAUUCUGGGCCAUUUACUUGGAAAUGCUCUGGGUUCUGUUUUUCCCUGUAGUGUGCACUCUCACUUGCUGUCUCAUUUAUUUAUUUUUGCUAUUCAGGUCACAACUUAAAUAUCCCCCUUUCAGAGAACUCUUCCCCAAUGACUUCAGUUACGGUAGUCUCCAAACCUGGCAGUCCUCUAUCAUACCACUUUAUUUUUUUAAGUUCAUUUAACCUAGUUUAAAAUUAUCUGGUUUAUUUAUGUUUAUUCCCUCCCUCUCCCCUCCACCACACCCAUUGGUUCCUUUUCCCUCUAUUAAAACAGAAGCUCCAUGAGAUUUGAGGACAAUGAAUCUCCUGUGAUAGGGUUUAAAGCAUUGCUUGGCACAUAGCAAGCACCUGAUGUUUAUUCAGUGAAUACAUACAUUUUCUUAGGAGGGUUGGGUGAAAGUUUCAAUUAGGAGGUGACAUUUUGAAGAAUGAUGCUCCAUCCAGAGAGGCUUCCAGGAAAAGAAGAGACCUGUUUAUAUAUUGAAUCUGGAAUUACAUAUACUUAGGGAAUUACUCACCCAGUCCCCAAAUCUGGAACAAAAUUUUCCAAUAAAUAUGCUACAUAAAUAUAAAAUACAUUUUCCAUUUAGGUGUCUCAUUGUUUUUCUUUCUUCUGCUUGAGAUGUAAGCUGUACAGUCUACUCAAAUAGAAUAUCAGCUAAAUCUUGGAAGGAACUUCUUGCUGAUUUCACAAAUAAGACUGUUUUGCAGAAGAGUGGGACUGUAAAACUCUAUUCUUCCACUGGCUUGCCUUCUUCCUUCUUCCUGGCUCCCCUUUUUCUUUUCUUUUCUCCAUUUCUUUCCUUUCCCUCUUGACCUGUGGUCAGCUGCCACCGACACCUAGAGGCUGUCACUGCUGGCAGCUUUCUGGGAGGAUGCCUUUGUUGCUCUUAUAGAGAAAGCCCACACACACUGCAGUUGUACCUGCCAGGUCACCUAAGUUAAAGCUAAACAGAGGGUAGAAGCUAUUAUUCAGGCAAUUCAAGUGAAAUAAAGUGCUUUAUUGCCAGUCAGUUUUUGCUUCUUUCAUUGCUUUGUUCUGGCUAUGGGGAUAGUUUGAACUAAGCUUCUGAGAAAGCCCAAGGUACCUUUGUGGAACUACCAGCUGUUCUUCCAUUUUCUCUCUUAUGCCAUCUGUGACUUGGUAAAAAAAAAAGUGUCCCUAGGUGUUUGGUGGGGUGGGAGUGAGGAUGAUGUGAAAGUGCUUAUUGCACCAAGCUGCCCCGUUUCUGACCUUGCAUUAAUGAAGUCAGGCAGUUUUAUUACUGUAGAAAAGCACUGUAGAGCUUUUCACUCCUAAGCAUUUUGCUAUGAAUACACUAGGGCAUCUUUUCAACAUUUUACAGAGGGUGCUUUUUGUUACUUUAAUUUAUUUCAAGCAACACUUUUUGGUACUUAUUAGCAAGACCCCAUGCCAUGAGGGAUGUGGAGAUGAGUAAUUGAAUCUAGAAGGGAAAUGCAGGGCAAAUGUGUUUGGUGUGUUUGGUGUGUGUGUGUGUGUGUGUGUCUGUGUGUGUGUCUGUGUGUGUCUGUGUGUGUGUCUGUGUGUGUGUCUGUGUGUGUGUGUCUGUGUGUGUAUUACAUAAAACAAUAACAGUGUUUGAAGUAACCUCCUAUGAGGAAUUUAAAGGAGGUUAAAAUCUCAAUUUGGUCUUGGUUACAAAACAAAAGUCAGCUUCAAGACAGCAGAUUUGUUUGAGGUGGGUCUUGAAUGAUCAACUGAAGUUAAAUAGGAUAACCCUGCAUUAACGAAGUCGUUUUAGCUUUACAGUAAUGGCCUAAAGGUAAGCAACUGUUGUGCAUGUUCAGAUAAUAAAAUAGGGCAAUUUGGUUGGAAUGUAUACUAUCAGUUCAGGGUAAUUCGAAUGAGACUGGAAAGAUAGAAAUGAGACAUAUCGUGGAGCUCUUUAAAUGACUAUAUUAUGGGUAACAGGGAAUCUAAGAGCUUUUGAGUAAGUAGCUGACAGGCUUGGAGGAAAUUCUAAAUAGAUUAAUUUAGUAAACUGUGUAGACUACCCUAGAAGUAGAGCAGUCAGAACAGAGACAGUGAAACCACAUGGGGUGUUUGACUUGCAUGGUACUGUAGCAGUGGACUGGGCAUGUGAAAGGCAGUGGAUCAGGCGGUCCCAUCAUCACUGGAAGGCCAUAGAUCCAGGUUGCUCAAGUCAUGAUAUUUAGAGAGUGGAGUGGGGGCGGAUUAUAUCAUCCAUAGGAAUCAUGAGAAGGUGAUAAUUUGAGGGUAAAAUGGUAGGUCCACAAAAAUCACCCUGGGUCACUUGCUACUAUUCUGUCCUGCCUUGAGACCCUCUCUGCUGAGUGAGUGAUUUAGAUGGAUCUCAACCCAUUUUUAGGUUAUGUUCUUAUGCCCCAGGUUGCAGAAUUUCUUGCUACUGUCACUCAUAUAGUAAAUAAACAUAGUGAGAAAAUUUCUUGGCUUGCAGUGGAGUUCAUUAUCUAUCCCUUAGGCAGUUCUCAGUAUUAAUAAAGUUGGUGUGGACAAAGAAUGUUGCCUGCCAUAUCAGAUUACACCACAGCCACAGUAAUGUGGGAUCUGAGCUGCAUUUGUGAUCUUGCUGCAGUUUGUGGCAAUGCCAGAUCCUUAAUCCACUGGGUGAGGACAUGGAUCAAACCCACAUUCUCACAGACACUAUGUUGGUUUCUUAACCUGCUGAGCCGCAAUGUGAAUUCCCAAGAGGAUGUGUUCUUGAAAUGCCAAGAUGGUCUUGCUGUAAGACUGUCUUCCUUACAGCAGCCUUAUAGCUGAUAAUUUGUUCCACCAAAAGUCAGCCGUGUUAGAAAAUAUUGACUAAUCCGUGCACCUAAAAGUUAAUGAAAAUGAGGCUGAUGGUUUUGUAGGAUAUUUACCAAAAUACCGAAACACUUCAUCGUAGUCCCUGUCAGAAUUUGGAAAGAGUAUGUGGGUUGAAAGGUCUGAGAUGUGGUGCAAAGCUAUCACUGAAUUACAGUCUUCUCCUGCCAUAUAUGGACACCAGGUUCAUAAUUAAAUUUCAGGAAGAAACUGCUGUGUAGAGACAACUAAGUUAGACGGUACUUGCUUAUAUAAGUAUUAUCCAAGUACCUGGGAUUGAUUUGUUGGUAAGAGAAUAGUUUAAUGAGAGACCUGAGAGCUUUGUAUAAUACUUAGGACUUUAUCAUACAAGUGCCACAAUUUAAGAAUAAUAGUGAGACUUGCAUCUAACAAAUUACAGCUUGAUCGAGUGAAGAAUCAUAUUUUGCCAAAGUGGCUAAGUGUAACCAUUUCUGAUUUGGCUGUAAAAGAAAGUUUUAUAUUUAGUAGAAGGACUAAUAGACUUCUAGAGACCUUUUCAUGAGUUGCUUGAAGAAUUGGGUCAGUCACAAGACUUUAAUGAGACUGGAAAGGACCAGUCCCUGUAUCAUCUAAUCUGUCUGUGCUUAAAUUUACCUUUAAACUUUGACUAGAAAAUUUGUUUAGGUAUUAAGUUUUAACAACUUCAGGAGAUAGUCAGUGAAAUUACCCACUGUUAGGGUAAUAAACACCAAUAUAUCUAUUUUAGGUUGAUCGAUUCAUACUUACUUAACAUUUUCCUGUCUCAUUAAAUAUAAAUUAAAUGCAUAGUUGAGAAGCUAAACUGAAAACAUUUUCCAGAAUUUAUACAAAGCAUGAAUAUAGAAUAUGUUAAUGGCAGCUGGAGGCAGAGCAACUUCAAUACUGUGGUGUUAAGCAAAAAGCAUGUUGCUAUGUUGGUGAGCAAAAACCAGAGUGAAAGACAAUUAAACAUCUCUAUUAAAUGCACAUUUUGUUAUGCUGCGAAAAAAAAUCAAAGGCAUGCAUGACAUUGUCAUGGCAACGAUGGAAUUGUUCCUUCUAUAAUCACUACAUGUAAAUUUAGUAACAUUGAUUUCAUUUCACCUAUUUCUGGGGCUAUAUAGUUCACUAUAUUUCUGCCUGGUUAGUUCAAAGAUUGUUAAUGUAGGUUAAAUUAAAGUUAAUUGAAGAUGCAAUACAGAGAACUGAACUGUAGAUAAAAAACAUGCUACAACUAAAAGAAAAUAAUGAUGGCUAAUGUUCAGAAAAGGAAAGAACAAUCAACACAUUUACUCCAUUUAUUUCUAAAGCCUGGAAUUUAAGCAAGAGGUUUUGUCUUGGAUAUGGCAAUUAGUGACCAUAAAUAAGGGUGGUCUGUUGGGAGUUUAUUAGGGUUCUAAUUCCACACUAGGGACCCAGUGUCUGCUGAACAGUCAAGUAUUUAUUUUUCUAACACAUACAAGUGUUUUUUAAAAUAAAGACACAAUUUUUGGAAUAUUCCCCAUUGCUUGAUUUGUAAGACUCACCUAGUUAUGUAGUCCCUGUGUUAUCAAUAUAAUGAGUCUGCUUUUUUUCCUUCUGGUCUUCCAGGAUUCACAGAGAAGUGGGGGGCAAAACUGAUAGUGGGGAGUAUUCCUCAUAGACAUGCCCAUAAUUUAUAUUAAUAAAUUUAUUUCUCCAAAAUUUUGAGAAUUCUUUAUCUAAAGAAUCAAAGAAUGCAAAGGAUUAAAUUUACUAUUGUCCUUCUAUGUUGAACAUAUUAUUUGGUAAGUUCUAAAAAAUGUGUUGGAAUAACAGGGAAGAAGUAAUGUAGUUUUUGUAUUAAAGGGAUAUGAUUUCAUUUAGAGUUCUUUUAUCAUUUUAAGUAUAUUACAGUCAUAGGAAUUCCUGCUGUGGUGCAACAGAAUUUGCCGUCUCUGUAGUGCUGGCACGCAGGUUUGAUCCCUGGCCCAGCACAGUGGCUUAAGGAUCUGGUGUUACCACAGCUGAGAGCAGGUUGCAGCUUCAGCUCGGAUCUGAUCUGUGGCUUGGGAACUCCAUAUGCCAUGGGAUGGCAGAAGAAGAAGGAGGAGUUCCCUUUGAGACUCAGUGGAAACAAAUCUGAGUAGGAACCAUGAGGUUACAGGUUUGAUUCCUGGCCUCGCUCAGUGGAUUAAGGAUCCAGCGUUGCUGUGAGCUUUGGUGUAGGUUGCAGACGUGGCUCCGAUCUGGCACUACUAUGGCUGUGGUGUAGGCCAGCGGCUACAGCUCCAGUUAAGACCCCUAGCCUGGGAACCUCCAUAUGCUGCAAGUACGGCCCUAAAAAGCAAAAAAAAAAAAAAAAAAAAAAAAAAAA